GACGCUCUCCGACCUUUCUAAUUUUUUUUCAUGCCUGUCUUUGCCUUUCUCUUCUUUUCCUCCUCCUUUCUCUCUGCAAAAUACUUCACCUAAGCUGAUGGAUUUCGCUUCAGCAUUCGGUCGGCUUUUAUAGCCAACCGUUGAGGGCUUGAGGCACUGUGGCACUUGAAAAAGUGCCACUGUGAGCCACAGCGCGGCACUUUCGAUUGAAGUGCCGCACAAAGCGGCACUUUCGAUUGAAGUGCCGCACAAAGCGGCACUUUUGAAAGUGCCCCAGUGUGGCACUUUGAAAGUGCCUCUGGCCAGCCAGAGGCCUCUGGCCCACCAAAAAUACUCGACCCGACCCGAACCGGUGCGAACCGGCUCGGUUCGCACCGGUUCAAUCUCAUACCGGUGCGAACCAAGCGGUUCGCACCGGUUCGAGUAUAUACCGGUGCGAACCGGCUCGGUUCGCACCGGUUUAACCAUCAAACCGAACGGUUCCGACCCAAUAUGGGUCGGAACCGUUUUAUACCUCGGAACCGGACCGGUGCCAGUCGGUACCGGUCCGGUUCGGGCUGAACCGACCGGUACAGGUCGGUUCAGCAGACCCUGGUUCAGAGUUUCAUGGAGUUAUAAUUUAUAACUCUUCUAACCUUUAGAAUAUCAUGACUGAUGCCUCAAAUUUAGAAUUUCAUGAGGAGAGACUUAUGCUUGAUAAUGCAAAUAAAUAUUGUUUAUACAGUGUAAAUGCAAAUCUACCUCUGAUUGGUUACACCAUAACUGUAUAGUGAGGCUGGGGUUAUGUUGGCUGCAUGUAAGUGGAUGCACAAACUUAUAUAGCCUGUGCUUCAUCCACUUUCAAGCAUUUUGGAGCAACUUGCACAUAGAACUCAUUUACAUAACUACUACUCACUUCCUGAUGGUAACAUAUUUCAUAAAAUGUAUUUUUGAAAUCGUUCUCCAAAGAUGAUGAAGCACUUUAAUGAAUUUAUAUUUAAUGAAUAAUAAUUUUAAAACACAAUCUGCUGUGCUUUUGGCAUUUCAAUAUGUACCCUUUUUUUUGUACUUAGUGAUAGUAAUUAAGCAUAAAUUGUUGGUGAAUCGAUUAAGCAGCUGGAUUAGAAAUCAUUAACUUGGAGCUUGUUUAAGAAUUCUUCCUUUUAAGGUUUAAUAGCUUUAUUAUCUUUGGACAUGACAUGGUAUGCUGUUCUGCAAAAUCAAUAUGCCUUUAUGAUUUUGGCCACAAGGUACAGCAUUAGGCCUUCUUCUGUGCCUCAGCCCGCUGGGCCAGGCAGGUGGUGGAGGAGAGCCAGAGAGCACCUUACAAAAAGCAACAUCAUUAAAUAUAGCCAUCCGGGGACUAAGCCCAGCCCAAUACCAGACCAAAGUCCGGAAUAAUAUAACCCAUGAUAUCUAAUACCUAAGUUGGCACCUCUAAUGCUGGUAAAUGACUAUAAUGACUUUCUCAACAUCUAUAAUUCUAUUACUUGGUCAAGUUAAAUAGGUGCUUGGCUAAUUCAAGCUGGUUCCCACACUGAAUAUUAUAUCGUCCUUGCACAGUAUACAAUUUUUCCGAAGUAAUAAGAACUACAAUCAGCGUCUGUUACAUUGUCUUUAAAUUUGUUUCCAACCAUGCGAUUUCUUGCCAUUUGAAAUAUUCUUAAAGAAGUAUGCUUUGCAGGGGGUUAAAUGGCCAACAAACUCAGUGAGACCCACUUCGGCCAAAUUAUAGGAGCGCAUAUGCAACUACAGUGUUGGCAUAUGAUACUGACAUACUGUAAAUAAACCUGACAUGCCCUAGUUUAAACCGGCACUUUAAAUACCUGGCACUACAGACUUGCUUCAAUUCUUCACAAUCCUCCUUGAAGUCUCAUCUACUUGAGAUGAGGACUUGCACAAGUUCUAGGUUCUAUCUUCUGCCAAGGCAUGAAUGCGUUCUAUUUUGAUAUCCCUCUUACUGAUGAACUUCAAUAUGUCACAUCAAGUGGUUUCAUGCAGAAGAAUGCUAUAUAUCAAUGUACAUGCAAUAUUGCUCAAUAUAGAUCUAGUCUUUCAGGGAUGAUGUAUUAAGGGGGACUGCGAAAGGAUGAAAGGAGGUAAUGUUUUCCCGCUCCUAGUCUUCAAAUGUAUCUCUUACUAGAUAUAACAAUGUUUGGUAAAGUGAUGCCUUUUGCUUGCAUCUAGCUAGUGCUUGCAUCUAGCUAGUAUUUUAGGCUUUCAGUAACGGUGAGAAGUAGAAAGUAGUUAUAUGGUUGGUUUGUACAUCAAAAAUAGGCGAGAAGUUUCACCUGUAUGUUAUACUCAUGUACUGUUAGCCAUAUAUCAGCCUUGAUGGGCGACUCUCAGGUACUGUAAUCUUUGAUCUACUAGCAUUUUUCCAUUUUCCUAAUUGCAAUUGUUCUUCUUCCAAGUUAUGCGCAAGGUCCUUUGGUAAUAAACACUGAUCCAAGUAGCAGCUCACUACUCAUAUAUUUAGUAUAUGAGUAGCAUCUCUUUUUAGUAUAUAAUUUUCUUCAUAUAUUGAGGUCCACCACUGCAUGCAUUUAUGAUUUAUCACAUGCUUAUAUAAUUUGUUUCUAACCACAUCAUUUCUGUUCAAUUGAAAUAUGUUCAAGUAAGUGAUUUUUGCAGGGGUGGGGUGGGCAACAAAUUCACUGGAGUUGGUUGGGUCCAAAUUAUAGAUGGUAAUGUGCCACUACGUUCUCAACAUUACUGCAAGUAAACCCCGUCAUGGCCUAGUUUAAGUGGCAUUUAUAAUUCCAACACCAAUUUUUUUUUGUAUAUACCCGCUUCAAUUCUCUACUUGAGUCUAUUCAGGUAUUUCAUUUAAUAAUGACCUUCAAAUUUGGCACUUCAUAAGGUUUUUGAGAAGAAAGCUCCCGCCUUUAAGUGGCAUUGCAGUGGAAGGGAUUGCCAAGGGAGAUAACAAGGUGCUUAUGGGAUAUGUUAGCUGUGAUGAGCUAUUAUUCACUCUUAGAUAGAAUUUAGCUGGAGAAUCUCUAGUGCAAGCUUGACCCAACAUUUGAAGUAGGUACAGACAACUCUAACCUGUAACUGAUACAUAAGAGACUGCACUACAAGGAGCAAGUGCAAGUGUUUUCUAUUAUGAAUUUGGGGCUCGACUGGUAUUAUUUUUGUUUUAAAAAACCCAAGAAAAAAAUGAAUUAGGUUGCACAAAAUGUAUGAUGAGACCCCCUUUUUCUCCCAAAUUGUUUGCAAAAUCUUUUGAGCUUUUGGUAGCAACAAUUUAUUGUUUCUAAAAAGAGUGAAAUAAAACCAAGGAAGUGUAGAAAUUUGUGCAAAUGCUAUCUUCAACAUUAAUCUCCAUAUGGUAUAUUGCUACUUGGUUGAGAAACAAAAACACGAAACAAUAAGAAUACCGAACAGGCUCCUCUAACUAUCAUUUUUGCCUUGGUGCUUAUCUAUUUAUUUGUCUGUUUUUACACGUGUGUUUUUCCUAUCUUUAGAUGAAAUAAUCAUGAUAUAUAAGGUUUUUCUUUUCAAGAACAAACAUUGGAAAAUAUUCUGAUUUGAGCAUUACAACUGCAUCAUUAAGCCAAUAAUGCAUUAUUCAUUUAUAUAACAGUUUUCGUGCACCUUUUGAGGACAACUAAGCUGUCGACAUGUUAUUAGGACAAAUAACAGAUAUGGUGAUUAUAUUAUACAGGAUGUUGCAUAUACUACAUUACUAUCACGAUCGAUUUGUUAGUGGAUGCAUUCAGCAUCCUCUGCACGGAACCCUGACUGUGUGUUGGAUAUCUUAUUCUUUGGUUUAAGUUUGUUGGAUAUCUGUUGCAGAGAGGUAGAUGUGGAGGCAAAUGUCUAGGGAAUAAUUGAUGGUGCUCCACAAUUAACAUAUCUUGGCCCCAAACAUGUGAGCAAUUAAUGCAUCUACCAGGGUGCACUCAUUCCAUAUGGAGUGCUUGGACUCUUUAUGCUCACUAGUAGUUACAUCAACUGCAUGUUCACAAUGUAUAUAACUAUUUAAGACAUGAUUUCUUAAUAGGUGGCCAUGAUACUGCCAGAAUCUAGAAUCUUUUAUGAUGACUUUUGAUGGGGACAUCAGAGCCAUUCAUUCAGAUGAUCGCGCCAUCAAAACCACUCGCUCGCGUCGCACCAGGGAUUGACAUCAUUGUGGCUGGGGGAUGAUCUUGAGCCACCGGCCUGAGUCGGGCCCCGGAUUGGGUCUAAUCGAGUUUGCAUUAUUUCUACUUUAUUGCAUUAUUAGUUGCUUGAGUCAAUUUGGUUAGUUAUUGAGUCAAGUGAUUGGAUCAAUUGAUCAAUGUAAGACCUAAUUAUAAAAGUUCAAUUUUGGGUGUGAACAAUUGGUUUAAUGGUUCAAUGUUAGUAAGGUUUAAUUUGAUAUGUAAUUGAGUAAUUGAUUUGAUGUAAGGCCUAUAUAAAGGCCAUCCCUCUCAAGAAUUAGGGCAUUGAAGAAUUGAAUAAAAUUAGCCUCCCUUUCUUCUUCUUCUUCCUCCUCUUUCUUCUUCCUCCUCUUUUCUUCUUCCUCUUCCUUCCCUCUCUUCCCUGCAGUGGUCCUCCAUUAGCUUGGUAUCAGAGCAUGCCUGGCUUUGCCUCUUUUGCUAAAGUCCUGGGAUCCAGUGUAUGGACGGACCACCCCCAAUCCCUUUUCCCUGUCUGCCGCACGAGAUUCUUGCUAGAACCAUCACAUUGCGGACUUUGGAUCGUGUAAAGGGCCGUCACGCAACGCGCACUACAAAGAGAAAGGAAAAUAUGAUUUCCCUUUUCUCUCUCUGUCUUCACCAAAAAAAAGGGGCGGAAAUCCCCUUCAUCAGUUCGUCCCACCCGUCGUCGCACCCGCGGCCACCACUACCACCCGCUGCCAGGCCACCGGCGGCUCUUCCACAUCCUGCCUCUCCUUGGAAUCCCUCUCCCAGCAGUUGAGCCCGUAGCCAUCUCCGGGGAUCAAGCAUCUCAGGGAAACAGCAAAAAAAAAAACCUUCCCUGCUACCAAGAAGCUCCACCACGUCCCUCUCUGAGCACGCCCCUCUUCGUCGCCGCAAACUCCGGCCGCCAGCAGGUGAUCCUUCCCCCCACAAAAGCCCUAGAAGGAAUCUGAAUCUAGUCGGGUUGAAAAAAAAAGGAGACGCACGUGACUUGACAGAUCGUAAUGGGUGUCGGAGCGGGUCAAACUCGAUAACCCAAAUCCUAACGGAUUCGAGUUAAAAAAAGAAAAAAAAAGGAGACGCACGUGACUUGCAUAUGACGGACCGUAAUGGGUAUCGGAGCUGGUCAAACCCGAUAAUCCGAAUCCUAACAGAUCUGAGUUAAAAGAAAAAGAAAACCCUACCUGUUCAUCUUCCUCUCUGCGACUGCCCUGCCGCUACCGUCUUCACCGCGCUAUCGAGGCCUCCUUGCUUUCGCCUCGGUGCCUCGUCGCCGCCGGAGCUUCACCAGCCGAGCCACCAUCGGAAGACCACCGCCUUCUCCCGUGCAGAUCUGCCCCCGCCCGCGCCGCAUCACCGUUGCCGCUUUCCGCCUCACCAUCUUCCGCCGCCGCCACCUCUCAUUGUCCACCCCUUCUAUCGCACUUUGUCCCCACCAAUCGCCGCCUUCGCGCCGUCUCACCUCGAACCCCUUUAACCUCUGGCCAUCUCACCAAAGCCGCUGCCCCACCUCUUUGCUCCUCCCUCCCGCACCACCACAGCGCUUGCCGCAACCCCACCCCCCCACAGACCUCUUCACACCCUUGCCGGCCGCCCCCCUCGCAGCUCCACCUCUCAAUGCCUCUUCGCCCUUACCCCCCUCCUCUUUCCUCCACGACUCGCAGCCCUUUCCCCCCACCUUUCUCAUAGGCCUGAUUUGUUUCUCAGGCCUGCCUCCCCCCACUCCAUCCAGCCGGCCCACAAGCCCAGGCCCACGUGCCUUGACCCCCCAUCAGCCCUCUCAGGGCCCACCUCUACUUUGGCCCAUUAGGCCCCCCUUUCCCACAGCUUCCUUCUCCCUCUUCAAGCCUAGCAGGCCCUUUUACACCGACCCAUACAACACCCCUCCUCUUUAGCUCACAGGCCAAUCAGACCACAAAUUGCUGUGAUCUGAUCCAACUUGACCGGGCCCGCCGAAUUGCAGUGAUCGAGCCCGAGUUCGGGACCCUUGCCGAGCCUACUUGCUGCAACCGUGCCCCUGAUCGUCGCCCCAGCCCACAAACAAGCAAUUCUGGUCGUCUGCUUCAUGAUAGGCAAUAAGAUUUCUACUUCUCUUGGCUUGUUCAUUUAAUUAUGUUCUAGCUCUCUUGCAUUAUAGCCAUAUUCUUGCAAACUUGCGUUACUGUCAAAAUUCAAAACAUAGAACCUCUCACUUUCGAACCUGUCCUAUCAACCAUUAAAUCUUUUGUUUAUUAAACUCGCACACCCUAGCAACAGGACUUUCUCAACGUUCAACUAACAAUUUAUUUUAGGAUUAGAACAACUGUAAAACUUGUUUGCAGUCUAUUUUCUUAUCUUGAUUGAUUUCAUACCUUAACUCCAAAUAACUGAAGUAAAAAUCAGCAACAUCUAGAUUUUAAGUUACUUCUGUGAAAGCUUGCUGAACUCGAAAGUCAUAUUAGGUUGCAUAGGUAGGUUGUCCUGCAUAUCUAGGAUUUUAUUAUUGACAUUGCAUCUCACAUCAUCAUCCAUAGUGUCGUCAUUGCAUGCCAACCCGUAGCGGUAAGAAGUACUAAGUGAGGAUGAUAGUAUUAUUUUGAUGAUUAACACAACCAUUGAGGAAAUAUCUAAUCAAAUACUACAAGUUAAUAUGACACAUCUUACUGAAUUCGACACUCUCGAUACAUUAGAAGAAUGAGAUCAAGAUAUCUUUCAAUGAUUAAUAAUGAGAUAAAAUUUGCGAUAGAAAAGGGAUAGUGAAU